GUAGGUGGCAAGCGUUGUCUGGAAUUAUUGGGCGUAAAGCGCGCGCAGGCGGUUCUUUAAGUCUGAUGUGAAAGCCCACGGCUCAACCGUGGAGGGUCAUUGGAAACUGGAGAACUUGAGUACAGAAGAGGAAAGCGGAAUUCCACGUGUAGCGGUGAAAUGCGUAGAGAUGUGGAGGAACACCAGUGGCGAAGGCGGCUUUCUGGUCUGUAACUGACGCUGAGGCGCGAAAGCGUGGGGGAGCAAGCAGGAUUAGAUACCCUGGUAGUCCACGCCGUAAACGAUGAGUGCUAAGUGUUAGGGGGUUUCCGCCCCCCCCUUAGUGCUGCAGCUAACGCAUUAAGCACUCCCGCCUGGGGAGUACGGCCGCAAGGCUG
rnacentral:rRNA from 1 species